GGCGUCCCUUCGCAGUCGUCUGGAAUCCUGUUGCUUGGCGGCCUGUGCGCGCGUGCGCGGACAUGGCUUCAAACGACUAUACCCAACAAGCAACUCAAAGCUAUGGGGCCUAUCCUACCCAGCCUGGGCAGGGCUAUUCCCAACAGAGCAAUCAGCCCUAUGGCCAGCAGAGUUACAGUGGUUAUGGCCAAUCAGCUGACACUUCAGGAUACGGCCAGAGCAGCUAUGGUUCUUCUUAUGGACAGACCCAAAACAGCUAUGGAACUCAGUCAGCACCCCAGGGAUAUGGUUCCACUGGUGGCUAUGGCAGCAGCCAAAGUUCCCAGUCUUCUUAUGGGCAGCAGUCCUCCUACCCCGGUUAUGGCCAACAGCCAGCUCCUAGUAGCACCUCAGGAAGUUAUGGUGGAAGUUCUCAGAGCAGCAGCUAUGGGCAGCCCCAGAGUGGAGGCUAUGGUCAACAGUCUGGCUAUGGUGGACAGCAACAAAGCUACGGACAGCAACAAAGCUCCUAUAACCCACCUCAGGGUUAUGGACAACAGAACCAGUACAACAGCAGCAGUGGAGGUGGUGGAGGGGGUGGUGGAGGCAACUAUGGCCAAGAUCAGUCCUCUAUGAGUGGCGGCGGCGGUGGUGGUGGUUAUGGCAAUCAGGACCAGAGUGGUGGCGGCGGUGGUGGCUACGGGGGAGGCCAGCAGGAUCGUGGGGGCCGUGGCAGGGGCGGUGGAGGUGGUUACAACCGAAGCAGUGGUGGCUAUGAACCCAGAGGCCGUGGAGGUGGCCGAGGAGGCAGAGGCGGCAUGGGCGGAAGUGACCGUGGUGGCUUCAAUAAAUUUGGUGGUCCUCGGGAUCAAGGAUCUCGUCAUGAUUCUG
rnacentral:lncRNA from 1 species